AUUGAACGCUGGCGGCAUGCUUUACACAUGCAAGUCGAACGGCAGCGCGGGCUUCGGCCUGGCGUCGAGUGGCGAACGGGUGAGUAAUUCAUCGGAACGUGCCCAGUAGUGGGGGAUAGCCCGGCGAAAGCCGGAUUAAUACCGCAUACGACCUUAGGGUGAAAGCGGGGGACCGAAAGGCCUCGCGCUAUUGGAGCGGCCGAUGUCGGAUUAGCUAGUUGGUGGGGUAAAGGCUUACCAAGGCGACGAUCCGUAGCUGGUCUGAGAGGACGACCAGCCACACUGGGACUGAGACACGGCCCAGACUCCUACGGGAGGCAGCAGUGGGGAAUUUUGGACAAUGGGGGCAACCCUGAUCCAGCCAUGCCGCGUGCGGGAAGAAGGCCUUCGGGUUGUAAACCGCUUUUGUUCGGGAAGAAAUCCUCUGGGCUAAUACCCCGGGGGGAUGACGGUACCGGAAGAAUAAGCACCGGCUAACUACGUG
rnacentral:rRNA from 1 species